AUUGAACGCUGGCGGCAGGCCUAACACAUGCAAGUCGAGCGGAUGAAGGGAGCUUGCUCCUGGAUUCAGCGGCGGACGGGUGAGUAAUGCCUAGGAAUCUGCCUGGCAGUGGGGGAUAACGUCCGGAAACGGGCGCUAAUACCGCAUACGUCCUGAGGGAGAAAGUGGGGGAUCUUCGGACCUCACGCUAUCAGAUGAGCCUAGGUCGGAGUAGCUAGUUGGUGGGGUAAAGGCCUAACAAGGCGACGAUCCGUAACUGGUCUGAGAGGAUGAUCAGUCACACUGGAACUGAGACACGGUCCAGACUCCUACGGGAGGCAGCAGUGGGGAAUAUUGGACCAUGCGCGAAAGCCUGCUACAGGCAUGCCGCGUGUGUGAAGAAGGUCUUCGGAUUGUAAAGCACUUUCAGUUGGGAGGAAGGGCAGUAAGUUAAUACCUUGCCGUGUUGACGUUACCAACAGAAUAAGCACCGGAUAACUUCGUG
rnacentral:rRNA from 1 species